rnacentral:misc_RNA from 1 species
CCGAGUUCAUGCCCUUACGGGUAGAUCUCCCACCCUUUGUAUACUAUACCUUUGUUGCUUUGGCGGGCCGCCUAGCUACUGGCUUCGGCUGGUAUGUGCCCGCCAGAGGACCCAAAACCCUGAUUACAUUAAAGAAUUCUUCUGAGUAACCGAUUAAAUAAAUCA